UAAUUGACCUCUAGCGUCUAUGCUGUUCUAUGGGAGAGACGUAAUAACGUCUCUCCCAUAGAUCGAAGAGAGGAGAAGAGUGGCGCCGCCGGCGGAUGGGGGUCUGCAGCGGUCUGGAUCAGGAACGGGGAUGCCUGGUGCAGCUGAAGGCAUGUGACUAAUCAACAGAGCAGCUGCGAGGAACUCCCUUAAGAAGUUAAGAACUUCUCCAAUACUUCUCUUCUGGAUCCGUAUAUAGUUCUGCCACCAUUCUACCUCAUCCACAAAUGACCGAACCCCAUCUGCAUCCACCAUCUAUGGACCACACCACAGCUCCUAUACAGCCAUACCACGAUCACCACCUACAAGUAUCGAUCCACAUCUAUAGACAUUCAAGUGAAAAGGUAUUGAUGAUCUUCUGCCAAGGAGGAACAUGUAAGUGUGUCAUCUGAGGAAUUCAAAUUUCCCAGGACCACCACUUCUCAUGUCCUACAAAACAGACUGGAACUAGAGGUUUCUUAAUUUUCCACCUACUAAGCUCUACUAGAAGGAUACAAUAGUAAAUGGAACAUGAGCUUAUGGGAAAUAUAAAGUAGUUUGGCUGGCCCAAUCCCACCUCUGAUGCAGGUGUCAGAAAAUGUCCAGCUUGGAUCUUUCUCAUUACCAGUGGUCACACAUACCUAUGAAGGAGGCCAAACCUUGAAAGUCUGAUUGUCUCACAAAUAAGAGACUUGGAAAAUGAAAAUGUAACCCUGAACGUGGCAUUCUUAGCCAAGCCUAUCCAUGUAUGUACAUAAUGGAAUUCCCUUUGACAGAAACCAACAAAGAAAGUAAAAGCAAAACUAACCCUGAAUUACUAACCUGUUAUUGAUGGGCUACAUGUAUUUUACAGUCAGCACUAUUAACCAUGUAUAAAUGUUUUGCUCAUUACAUCAA